UUUCCGUAGGUGAACCUGCGGAAGGAUCAUUAAAGAGAAUAUGCCCUUCGGGGUAGAUCUCCCACCCUUUGUUUAUAUUACCUUUGUUGCUUUGGCAGGCCCGUCUUCGGACCACCGGCUUCGGCUGGUCAGUGCUUGCCAGAGGAUCCAAAACUCUUAUUAUUAAUGUCGUCUGAGUACUAUAUAAUAGUUAAAACUUUCAACAACGGAUCUCUUGGUUCUGGCAUCGAUGAAGACGCAGC
rnacentral:misc_RNA from 1 species